GGGCGUAGGUCAUUGAUCCUCGGGGGGAGGUUUGACACUUCUCGUUUUCCUAAGUCGUUGAGAAGUCGCGGAAAUUGGCUGACUCUUAAUCAGCGGGUCCAAGGUUCGAGUCCUUGUGCGCCCACCA
rnacentral:tRNA from 2 species